GUUUCUUUCUUCCACAGAUAAGCCAUUAGUUUCUAUUCAUCAAGCUGAAGAAUGGGAGCGGAGCGGCGGGCUGUCACUGCGGCGUCCUGCGCUCCACUUUGAGCCUUCAGCGUUAACUGUAAAAGGAAGGGGCUGGGGGGAAAAGUUGGAACAACCAGAGAGACUUUGACCUUCAGAGGAAAACAGUCUGCAGAUGGAAAAAUGAGCAAUCUGGUGAGAUUCUCUUGUUGCAGCUGGAGCUCAACACUCCGAUUUGUUUACUUUAAUGGCUCAACUCCACAUUUGUUAACAUGCACCUUCAGAAAAAGCUGCAAUGAUGCGGCUCUGGUUACCUUGUUGCUCAUUUGAGCAAAUACAUGGAGAGAAAAAGAUCUCAAAAGAUGGAAUUCUGCAAUCUGUAAUAUUUGCAAAUGGAUUUAAAACAGUGGACCACUGGGGCACAAAAAUCAAUGAUAAUAAUAAAAAAUACAUAAAUAAAUAAAAAAAA